UUGACCUCGAAUCAGGUAGGAAUACCCGCUGAACUUAAGCAUAUCAAUAAGCGGAGGAAAAGAAACCAACAGGGAUUGCCCCAGUAACGGCGAGUGAAGCGGCAACAGCUCAAAUUUGAAAUCUGGCUCUCGGGCCCGAGUUGUAAUUUGUAGAGGAUGCUUUUGGUGAGGUGCCUUCCGAGUUCCCUGGAACGGGACGCCAUAGAGGGUGAGAGCCCCGUCUGGUUGGA
rnacentral:rRNA from 1 species